CGUCAAUUUGCUUCUGUGCC
rnacentral:piRNA from 1 species